AAUACUUGGGCCUUUAGUUUACCUUUUCUUUCUUACUGCAUUGGCUACAACUACAAGCCAAUGACAUGUAAUAAUGUUGCGAGUGUGCCUCGCUUUGAUCCUGAGCGUCUCAGGACCUACAUCAUGGAAUAUGUUGUCUGAUGAAACCUUGAGGUAGAUAUCCUGUUCCUGGUCUACUGGGAGGUUUGGUUUUUUUUUUUUUUUAAUUCAAGUAUAUAUAGGGUAUUCCUAUCUCUCCAUUUUGUUUUGUUUAGUUUUUGAGACAGGCUUCAUGCAGCCAGGUAACCUUAAGUUCGCUACGUACUUGAGGCAGGCCUCUUGCCUCAGCCUUCAAAGUGCUGAGAUUCUAGACUUGUGCCAUGAUACCUAGGUAGAAUAUUAGUCAUUUAAAGAUCAACCAAAAUUAAUCAGUUUUCUGCUUUGACUGUUCGUUAACCCAAUUGACUGCAUUGAUUAACUUCUGAGAUGCAAUUCAUACUCCAUUUGUAGGUUGAUGGAUGACUCCUUACAGUGAGCAUGUUUUCAUGGCUCACCUGUGUUUUAGCACAUGUGUGUUUCCUUGAUUUUCAUGGCUGAGUAACGUACAGAAUUUUAUUUAUUCAUUUUUGUGUUGUGUUUCUCAUUUGAGCUAUACUGAGUAGUGCUGUUGUCUGCUGUGAAUGCUGACGUGAGAUUUCCUGUGGAUCUGCGUUACGGUGGUUUGGAAGAGUAAAAUCAGUCCCCUGUGGGCUCCUGGAUUGGAUCACUUGUUCCCCACUUGGUGACACUUUUGGAGGACAUUAUUGAACCUGUAGGAGGUGGAACUGUGAUGGAGGAAGUUUGAGGUUUUAUAACCUGGUCCUACUCCCUUUUCCCUUCCCCCCUCUCUGCUUCCUGUGUGUAGAUGAAAUGUGGUCACCCUGGACACCAGGCUGACCUCGCACUCCUGCUUCCAUGGUCUCACUGCCACAGUGGACUGUGUGCACUGAGACUGUGAGCCCAGAUAAACCCUUUCUCUCCAAAGUUGCUUUUGUCAGGAUAUUCUGUCACAACAACAGCAAGAUAACUAAUACAUGUGUAUUUAAUUCUUCAGUAUGUACCCAAGAAUGGAAUUUCUGGGUCAUAAAAAAAAAACAACAUAGCUUUUUGGAGAUCAGCCAAACCGAUUUCUCCCCAGCUGCACUGUUCCACACCCCCACAGGCUUCAUAGUGGAUGCUGGUCCAUUGAUACUCAGCAUGUGCCUUUUCAUAGGCAUUCUGGUGUUGUGAAGUGGCAUCUCACUGUGGUUUUGUGAUUACCCGAGUUUGAAUUAGUCACUGCAAAUUGUAUGAUUCUUUGCUAAUAUUUAAUUUUGGAUAUUUAGGUCUAUGUUUGAAAGUGAGAGAUGUCUGAGCUUUCUUUUGGUUAGCCUUUGUAUCAAGGCUGUCCUUACAUUAGCAAACAAUGCAGGAAGUUUCCACUCUAAUGGCAUGGAAGCAGCUGGACCUGAUAGUUUUGAUAGAAAGAGCCCAUCUGGGCCCGUCCAGUUUUGGAAGUAGUUAUUCGAUAACCAUUUCAAUUUAUUCCAUACUUCAAUGUUGGUUCAGGAAUUUUCAACUGCUCUUUUAGUCAAAUCUGGCCAUUUAUUUUCCAAGAAAAUAAUCCUUACCCAGAUUUUCAUUUUUAAGCAUAGUUAUAUAUAGUGAUC
rnacentral:lncRNA from 1 species